GCAAAUGAUUAUUAUAAUAUUUAGUGCAAAGGGGUGGGAGCAUUAACACUUUAACUGAAAGUGUUUCAGAAACCAAAUAAGUGUGCCCUCCCCUGUACCUUUACCUCUCGUUUCUUACUGCUCUAUUUCUCUGCUUCCCACCAAAAAGAAAAGAAAAUUAUUUUGAAGAAUCAGGUGGAGGAUUAAGGGGUACGAAGGAAUUUCUGCGCAUGAGAGGCAUAUCGCUACAACCCUAAGUUAGUCUUUAUUUGAGAAAUUCUUAAAUUCUAUCAAGAAUUCAAGUUGGGGUUAAUUCACCAAAAGUUAGUGAAUUGCCUAGUGAAUAGCAGAAGUUGCUGGUUGGAAAGAUAAAAGUUGUACUUCCGCGGAUUGAGUUAUUUGGGACCCAAAAUACUAUCAUAGCUAAAUAAGCACUAAGGAUCAGGUAUAUUGAUGAGUAAACUUCUAUACUAGACACUUGUUCGUAAUCAACAAAGUAGUCGGUGAGCUCCUCUCUUAUCUGGGGCUAUUAAAUGUCGAGUAUUAUUUAAUCGUAUUUCUAGUUAUAGUUUGGGUAUGUAGGGCCCCUGCCCCGGCCACCUUCUUCAGUAUAGUUAUAAUUUCUCUUAGAGGCUUCGUAGACCGAGAUAAGUUCUCAUACGUGGUCAUAGUUCCAUAUGUUUAUAUCAAAUAGUGUUCAAUGAGAUAGAAUUGAGUUGUACAUAUCCCUUUAUCAUUGUUUGUAAAUUAUAACUCCUCAGCGUAGUAUAUAUGUCAGUCACAUAGCUAAUGCUCAUACGGUUCUUGUCCGCCCUGUCUAGGCUAAGCUAGGGGCGUGACAACACACUCUCCUCCAUUUUUUUUGUUUAGUAAACUAAAAAAUAGUUAUCCAAUAUUACUUGUCCAAUUUAAAAAACUAAGAGAUAACUUAGAAUUAUAUGUCUAUUUU